rnacentral:pre_miRNA from 1 species
CGUGUACUCCCUCCGUCCAACAAAAGAUGUCUCAGAUUUAUCAAAAUUUGAAUGUAUGUAGGUAUAACUUAGUGUAUAGAUGCAUUCAAGUUGAAACAUCUUUUGUUGGACGGAGCAAGUAUCAU